rnacentral:rRNA from 1 species
AUGGUGAAAAUUUUCAGAAAAAUGAGACAACUAACAACCUUGUUCUUGGUAAUGAAGCCCAUGCAUGCUAAGAUAAUGAAUAUAUUUGCGUACAUGCCUCACCUGGUUGAUAUUCAUCUCGCCAGUUUUGGUGUGCUUGAUAAGCUUCCAGAGAGUAAUCACUUCCCGCAGAGCCUUCGGCAUCUCUAUCUAGAAGCUGAUGUCAUUGAAAUAGACCCGAUGCCGAUCCUGGAGAAGCUUCCCUGUCUUGUGGUAUUGGAGUUGUCAGGGUAUAAAGGUCGAACCAUGUCGUUCUCUGCCCAAGGGUUUCCUCGCCUACAAGAGUUAAAACUUGAUAUUUUCUCCAUCGAGGAGUGGAGGAUGGAGGUAGGAACAAUGCCAAAGCUCUCCCACCUGACACUUUGGUUGUGCAAGGAGAUGUGGAAGUUCCCAAGCGGAUUGCUGCACCUUCCAUCCCUCAAGAAUUUGAAACUAAUGAGUAAGUCCCUGAUUUCUGGAGAUGACAGCACACUGAAGGAGCUGGAGCGGAGAGGAUGCAAGGUGGAACUUUAA